UCGGGCGCGAUUAGUACUUAGAUGGGUGACCGCUUGGGAACGUCGCGUGUCGUUGGCC
rfam:Aedes albopictus isolate Foshan contig213346, whole genome shotgun sequence.